rnacentral:misc_RNA from 1 species
UUUCCGUAGGUGUACCUGCGGAAGGAUCAUUAAUGAGUCUUUGAAGUGGGUUUGAUGCUGGUCUUUCGAGGCAUGUGCUCGCCCUAUUCUCAUCCACUCACACCUGUGCACCUUACGUUUAAGAAGUGGUUGUUGCCUCCCUUCGGGUUGGCAAGUUAGGGAAACCUAGCUAUGGCCCUUCUUUGCGUUACUUUACACAAACUCUUGAAUGUCAUAGAAUGUAUAUUGGCCUACGGGCUUUAAUUUAAAUACAACUUUCAACAACGGAUCUCUUGGCUCUC